AUAACACCUAGGAAACAGAUGCUAAUACCGGAUAACAACAGAUGAUGCCUAUCAACUGUUUAAAAGAUGGUUCUGCUAUCACUNCUUGGAUGGACCUGCGGUGCAUUAGCUAGUUGGUAGGGUAACGGCCUACCAAGGCGAUGAUGCAUAGCCGAGUUGAGAGACUGAUCGGCCACAUUGGGACUGAGACACGGCCCAAACUCCUACGGGAGGCAGCAGUU
rnacentral:rRNA from 1 species